rnacentral:rRNA from 1 species
GUGCCAGCAGCCGCGGUAAUACGUAGGGUGCGAGCGUUACUCGGAAUUACUGGGCGUAAAGGGUGCGCAGGCGGAUCCUUAAGCCAGACGUGAAAUCCCCGGGCUUAACCUGGGAAUGGCGUUUGGAACUGGGGAUCUAGAGUGCGGCAGAGGGGGGUGGAAUUCCUGGUGUAGCAGUGAAAUGCGUAGAGAUCAGGAGGAACACCGAUGGCGAAGGCAGCCCCCUGGGCCGACACUGACGCUCAGGCACGAAAGCGUGGGGAGCGAACAGGAUUAGAUACCCCCGUAGUCC